UAAGGAAUAUUGCGCAAUGGAUGAAAGUCUGACGCAGCAACUCCGCGUGAUGGACGAAGGUCUUCGGAUUGUAAACAUCUUUUAUCUGUGAAGAAAAGUUUAAGAUUGACGGUAACAGAUGAAUAAGCUCCGGCUAAAUAUGUGCCAGCAGCCGCGGUAAUACAUAUGGAGCGAGCGUUACUCGGAAUCACUGGGCGUAAAGGGUGCGUAGGCGGUUAUAUAAGUCGCAGUUUUAACUUCGGGGCUUAACCCCGAUUGUGAUAGCGAUACUGUGUGACUUGAAUACUUGAGAGGUAAAUGGAAUUUCCGGUGUAGCGGUGGAAUGCGCAGAUAUCGGAAAGAACACCAAUGGCGAAGGCAGUUUGCCGGCAAGAUAUUGACGCUGAGGCACGAAAGCGAGGGGAGCAAACAGGAUUAGAUACCCUGGUAGUCCUCGCCGUAAACGAUGGACAUUAGUCGUCGAGUCGAAAGAAUCGGCGGCGUAGAUAACUUGAUAAAUGUCCCGCCU
rnacentral:rRNA from 1 species